rnacentral:misc_RNA from 1 species
GAUGAAGAACGUAGCGAAAUGCGAUAAGUAGUGUGAAUUGCAGAAUUCAGUGAAUCAUCGAAUCUUUGAACGCACAUUGCGCCCCUUGGUAUCCCGAGGGGCAUGCCUGUUCGAGCGUCAUUUCACCACUCAAGCCUGGCUUGGUGUUGGGCGACGUCCCCUUUGGGGACGCGCCUCGAAACGCUCGGCGGCGUGGCACCGGCUUUAAGCGUAGCAGAAUCCUUCGCUUUGGAAGUCGGGGCCCCGUCUGCCGGAAGACCUACUCGCAAGGUUGACCUCGGAUCAGGCAGGGAUACCCGCUGAACUUAAGCAUAUCAAUAAGCGGAGGA